rnacentral:tRNA from 1 species
GCGGAUAUGGCGGAAUUGGCAGACGCGUAUGGUUCAGGUCCAUAUGAAAGUAAUUUCAUGCAGGUUCAAGUCCUGUUAUCCGCACCA